GCGCCCAUAGCUCAGUCGGUAGAGCAGCUCCCUUUUAAGGAGAAGGUCCGAGGUUCGAUCCCUCGUGGGCGCACCA
rnacentral:tRNA from 1 species